UUGCGAUCCGCUAACCGGUCAAGCCGUGUCGCGGAAGGUUGAUGAACCCGCUGAACUCCGGCAGACCCGGAGAAGGUGAGCG
rnacentral:ncRNA from 1 species